UGAGAUGCUUUGUGAUUACGAGGAGGAUUAAAGAUGCAAUUUAUUAAAAAGAAAAAGAUGAGCAAAAGACAUAGUUUGCUUGGUUAGAUGGAAACCAGAUGUAGUUGGCAAGUCCUUUAAAAAAGUAUUAUUGCAGUGGGGAGUGAAAGACAGCCCAUCCACCUAUGGCCUUAUGUGCGGCUUCUGCUUUCUAAAGGCGUUUCUGGCAAUUAUUUUCUAAUCUUCCUCAAAUUCCUCCCCCCAAGUUUCCGAAUUUCUUCAUCGUUUUCCAUCCCCAGACACUAUGGCUGCAGAAGCACCAAGCUGGGCCGACCAAUGGGGAGCCGGAGGGAUUGGAGCCAUAGAAGAAGACGAUGGUAGUAAAGCCAAAGGAGAACACAGCUCCGACAAGAAGGCUAGGUCUAAGCCUGGAUUUGCGAAGGCCAAGGCCGCGACCGUGGCUGGUGCCAAAAAGAUUGGAAGUGGGAUAUCUAAUGGCAUCAAGUGGAUCAUGAACCCACGCAAGAAAAACUCCAAUUAAAUUUCGGCAGAUUUGUCUCCAUAUCCUUGGCACCAAUAUAACAGAUCAGAGAGAGAGAGAGAUAUAGAAAGAAAGAAAAACCUACUUUUGUUAGCAAAAGGUUGAAACUUUUCAUCAUUCUGGUAUCUGUUUUUUAAAUUUUGGCAAGCAUGGUUCUCAGAGUUCUGGACUCGAUUCGGCUAAGAUAUUCAGCAUGCUGUGGAAUUCAGGUUCCAUCCUGUUAUCAUUUCCAUAUAUCAUAGAAUCAAGUAGUAGUUUCAGGCU